CUGGCUGUCGCGGGUUCAANNNGGUUAGAGCCCCAGAUUGUGGAUCUGGCUGUCGCGGGUUCAAAUCCCGUCGGCCACCCCA
rnacentral:tRNA from 1 species